rnacentral:rRNA from 1 species
UCAGUUCAGAUUGCAGGCUGCAACUCGCCUGCAUGAAGUCGGAAUUGCUAGUAAUCGUAGGUCAGCAUACUACGGUGAAUACGUUCCCGGGCCUUGUACACACCGCCCGUCAAACCAUGAGAGUUGGCAACACCCGAAGUCGGUAGUCUAACCGCAAGGAGGACGCCGCCGAAGGUGGGGUUGAUGAUUAGGGUUAAGUCGUAACAAGGUACC